CGCUUAAUUAAUGGCUCCUGGCGCGAUACACUACAUUGUUUCUCGUUUAUUACUUUCAUUCAGUGGGUGGAAGUCAACAGGGAGAGAAUGUCAGGGGGCAUAGCGCGCGGGCGUCUUGCCGAGGAGCGGAAGGCAUGGCGUAAGAAUCAUCCCCACGGCUUCGUGGCGAGACCGGAAAUAUCACCCGAUGGUUCCGUCAAUUUGAUGGUGUGGCACUGCACAAUUCCUGGCAAGCAAGGGACUGACUGGGAGGGUGGUUUUUUCCCUAUUACACUUCACUUCAGUGAGGACUAUCCAAGUAAACCCCCAAAGUGCAAGUUCCCACAAGGUUUCUUCCAUCCUAAUGUCUACCCAUCUGGAACGGUUUGCCUAUCAAUUCUCAAUGAGGACAGUGGAUGGAGACCAGCCAUUACAGUGAAACAAAUCCUUGUUGGCAUACAGGACUUGCUUGAUCAGCCCAAUCCUGCCGACCCUGCCCAGACAGAUGGAUAUCAACUGUUUAUCCAGGGAGGCCAAAGGCCUAAAGAUAUACAAGAAAAGACAAAAAGGACGAGAAAAACCAAAACAACAAAUCUGCCCAACUAUCACAGAACUGAUCUGCCACAUUGCCUAAGAUUCGAUAGCCUAUUACCUGACCAGCUCUUUUGCCAAAUUGCCACCCUCCACUAGAGAUCUUUACCGAUUCCUGAAACAUCAAUUAUUCCUUUCCAACCAUAGGACCAAAAUCCCAGCCAGCAAACAAAUGCGCUAUUUCUUCUUCUCUGAAACAUCGAUUAUUCCUUUCAACCAUAGGACCAAAAUCCCAGCCAGCAAACAAAUACGCCAUAUAUUCUUCCCUGAAACAUCGAUCAUUCCUUCGCAGACAUUGAUUAUUCCUUUCGCCAAGCAAUGUUGGUAACUAAAAUGAAAGGAUCCUUUGGAGAUGGGAAAUUCAAUCCCCUUGAGUGCGAUUCUGUCUUAGUAUACAACUAGAAACCUAUUGGUUACAUCCACUCCCCAUGCGACAUGCUUGUAGAUAGAACUUUUUGAACACAACUAUCUCCCAAGGGUGUUUGAGCUUGUACAAAUGGACUAUUUUGCUGUACUAUCUGUGCUUUGUCAAACACCUUCCGGACAAGCACGUCUCUUGUGUACACAUUAGGCAUGUUGGCACGUCUGGACAUGCGACAUGCUUGUAGAUUAAUGCUGGCAUGUGGUUGCACGGUGGCACAUAUGGCACUUGUACAUGUGGGGUGCUUGAGGGUCCAAUGUGGAACCGGCUGAGUACAAAAGAAGGGUCCGACAGCAGGCCAAACAAUACCCGCCUCUCAUCUAGAGUUAGCUCGCUUGAGUCAAACAUUGGGAACCCAUCGAAUGUCAGGAUAUUCUUCACCCCUGUGGAAUUGUGUUUGAAUGCUUGUAAAAUCCGCAACCUUGUCAUUGGACUUUGACUUUGAAUCGGUCUUCAUUUGCUAGAGACUGGAAGUAGGCAUACUCUGGUUCA